CCCUUAGAUGUUCUGGGCUGCACGCGCGCUACACUGAUGCGAUCAACAAGUUUUUCUUAUGUCGAUAGACACGGGUAAUCUUUUGAACUCGCAUCGUGAUGGGGAUAGAUUAUUGUAAUUAUUAAUCUUCAACGAGGAAUUCCUAGUAGGUGCAAAUCAUCAGUUUGCAUCGAUUACGUCCCUGCCCUUUGUACACACCGCCCGUCGCUGCUACCGAUUGGUUGAUCUGGUGAAUUAUUCGGACUGCCGGCUGAAGGGGUUUCCUCAUCUGCCAGCGGAAAGUCUUGUUAACCCUAUCAACUAGAGGAAGCAGAAGUCGUAACA
rnacentral:rRNA from 1 species